rnacentral:rRNA from 1 species
AGGUAUGCUGGAGGUAUCAGAAGUGCGAAUGCUGACAUAAGUAACGAUAAAGCGGGUGAAAAGCCCGCUCGCCGGAAGACCAAGGGUUCCUGUCCAACGUUAAUCGGGGCAGGGUGAGUCGACCCCUAAGGCGAGGCCGAAAGGCGUAGUCGAUGGGAAACAGGUUAAUAUUCCUGUACUUGGUGUUACUGCGAAGGGGGGACGGAGAAGGCUAUGUUGGCCGGGCGACGGUUGUCCCGGUUUAAGCGUGUAGGCUGGUUUUCCAGGCAAAUCCGGAAAAUCAAGGCUGAGGCGUGAUGACGAGGCACUACGGUGCUGAAGCAACAAAUGCCCUGCUUCCAGGAAAAGCCUCUAAGCAUCAGGUAACAUCAAAUCGUACCCCAAACCGACACAGGUGGUCAGGUAGAGAAUACCAAGGCGCUUGAGAGAACUCGGGUGAAGGAACUAGGCAAAAUGGUGCCGUAACUUCGGGAGAAGGCACGCUGAUAUGUAGGUGAAGUCCCUCGCGGAUGGAGCUGAAAUCAGUCGAAGAUACCAGCUGGCUGCAACUGUUUAUUAAAAACACAGCACUGUGCAAACACGAAAGUGGACGUAUACGGUGUGACGCCUGCCCGGUGCCGGAAGGU